rnacentral:rRNA from 1 species
UACGUAGGUCGCAAGCGUUGUCCGGAUUUACUGGGCGUAAAGAGCGCGCAGGCGGCUGGUCAAGUCCGAUGUGAAAUCUCCCGGCUUAACUGGGAAACUGCAUCGGAAACUGAUCGGCUUGAAGGUGGGAGAGGGUAGUGGAAUUCCCGGUGUAGUGGUGAAAUGCGUAGAUAUCGGGAGGAACACCAGCGGCGAAGGCGACUACCUGGCCCAUUCUUGACGCUGAGGCGCGAAAGCUAGGGGAGCGAACGGG